rnacentral:tRNA from 1 species
GGACAGGUAGCUCAGUUGGUAGAGCACGGCCCUGAAAAGGCCGGUGUCGCUGGUUCGAUCCCAGUCCUGUCCA